rnacentral:rRNA from 1 species
CCUACGGGAGGCAGCAGUGAGGAAUAUUGGUCAAUGGACGAAAGUCUGAACCAGCCAAGCAGCGUGAAGGAUGACUGCCCUAUGGGUUGUAAAUUUCUUUUAUAUGGGAAUAAAAUGUUCCAAGUGUGGGAUUUUGUAUGUACCAUAUGAAUAAGGAUCGCCUAACUACGUGCCAGCAGCCGCGGUAAUACGGAGGAGCCGAGCGUUAUCCGGAGUUAUUGGGUUUAAAUGGAGAGUAGGUGGAUUGUUAAGUCAGUGGUGAAAGUUUGCGGCUCAACCGUAAAAUUGCAGUUGAAACUGACAGUCUUGAGUACAGUAGAGGUGGGCGGAAUUCGUGGUGUAGCGGUGAAAUGCGUAGAUAUCACGAAGAACACCGAUUGCGAAGGCAGCUCACUGGACUGCAACUGACACUGAGGCUCGAAAGUGUGGGGAGCAAACAGGAUUAGAUACCCUGGUAGUC